rnacentral:lncRNA from 1 species
UCAGGUAGACAACAUCCACAACCCACUGGCUCUUGUCAGUGAAGAUCGUGAUCCCCACAAAGUAUAACAAAUAUAUGCGGACACACUGGUCCCGCAACCUGUAACAACCCAAUAUUUUAUAUAUGUUCUUUUUAAUAAUUCUAUUUAUUUUAAUAUUUUUAUAUAUAAUGCUUUAAAUUAUUUUAAGAUGUUUCUUGUGCAUUAGUUAUUAAAUGGUUUAUUUAAGUGACCUUUUAUGAUAGGAGCGUGAAAUAUUUUAUGCUUUUGCGCUAUAUAUCAUUUUAACCUCCUUGAUUUAGGAAGAGGAAAGAAUAAGUAAUGAGACAUUUGGAAGGAUAUAAUUUCAAAUAUACAAAACACAGAGCUAUAAUAACAUAUUUUGGAGUAAUAGUGUUAGUGGUUACACUUAUAAAAUUAGUUGUAAUAAAACAAAAUUCCAAAACCUAAAAGCUAAAAUCAAUUUCAAUUUCAAUAUAGUAAUCAAAAUUGAGCCAAAAUUGGGAGUUUAUAGAAAAGAAGGAAAAAAAGAGAUGACCUAACAUAGAGAUGUUGGUGUUGUGGUGAUGUGCUGGUUCUGUUAUGCAGUUGGUGGACGCCGUUGUCGUUGGUGGUGGGCUGGUGGUCGGUGGGUGGUGGUGCAUAGUUUGUGGAAUUGUGGCUUUGGGGUUUCAGUUUGUGUUGUGC